CUCGUAGGCGGUUCAGUAAGUCGGGUGUGAAAACUUUGGGCUUAACCCAAAGCGUGCAUCCGAUACUGCUGUGACUUGAGUUCGGUAGGGGGAGUGGGGAAUUCCUAGUGUAGCGGUGAAAUGCGCAGAUAUUAGGAGGAACACCGGUGGCGAAGGCGCCACUCUGGGCCGAAACUGACGCUGAGGAGCGAAAGCAUGGGUGCAAACA
rnacentral:rRNA from 1 species